rnacentral:lncRNA from 12 species
CCCCCCCCCCCCCCCCCCCCCCCCCCCCCCCCCCGGAUUGGUUGGGAUUGGGUGGGAUUGGGUGGGAUUGGGUGGGAUUGGUUGGGAUUGGCAUGGAAACGGCGCCUGCAGAUGUGGGAUGUGAUGCUGGGAACUGCUGGAGGUGAUGCCUGGAGGAGGGGAAGUUCCAGGGACUCAGCCUGGGGAAGGGAAGGGUGUGUGGAGUCCUCACUGCACCUUCCAGGGCCUGAAGGCAUCAGAGAGAGCCAGAGAGGGACCCUGCAGGGACAGGACCUGGGAAUGGCUCCCAGUGCCACAGGGCAGGGCUGGCUGGGAUCUGGGGCAGCAAUUGCUGCCUGGGCUGGAACUGCCAGAGCAGCUGUGGCUGCCCCUGCAUCCCUGGCAGUGGCCAAGGCCAGGCUGGACACUGGGGCUGGCAGCAGCUGGGACACUGGGAGCUGUCCCUGCCGUGGGGGCACUGCAGGGGGGGCACUGGGGGGCUCUGGGGUCCCUUCUAUCCCAAACCAUUCCAGGAUUGUGGUGCAGGUGUGGGAAAGGGGAUGCAGUGUCCUGGAGGGACAACACAACAUCACAGGGGAAUGGGGAUAACUGGAGGGACAACACAACAUCACAGGGGGAUGGGGAUAAAGAUGAGGAUGAGAUGAGGAUGAGGAUGAGGAGAUGAGGGUGAGGAAGAGGAUAAGGAUGAGAUGAGGAUGAGGAUGAGGAUGGGGAUGGGGAUGGGGAUGAGAUGAGGAUGAAGGCCUGCCUGGCUGAUCCCGUGGAUCUGGCCCCCGGGGCGGGGCAGUGUCCCCCUGAGCCGUGUCCCUGUUGCAGGUGAACGUUUCUGUGGAUUACAUCCGUCCUGCCAGCAGCGCCACCGAGACCGUGCCGGCCUUUUCGGAGCGCACCUGUGCCACCGUGUCCAUCGGGGGCAUGGCCAUCAAGAACGGGAAGGGGCUGCACAGCAAGAAGGAGGUGCCGAUCCACAGGGUGGCCGACAUCUCCGGGGUAAGGAUGCGCUGGGGCGCGGGGUGGGGCAGCGGGGGCAGCCCCACGGCUGUGUUACCAAGGGGAUCAAUGUGUUAUCAACGGGAUCAAUGUGUUACCAGUGGGAUAAACCCCACGUCUGUGUUACCAACGGGAUCAAUGUGUUAUCAAUGGGAUCAAUGUGUUACCAACGGGAUCAAUGUGUUAUCAAUGGGAUCAAUGUGUUACCAACGGGAUCAAUGUGUUAUCAAUGGGAUCAAUGUGUUACCAACGGGAUCAAUGUGUUAUCAAUGGGAUCAAUGUGUUACCAACGGGAUCAAUGUGUUAUCAAUGGGAUCAAUGUGUUACCAACGGGAUCAAUGUGUUAUCAAUGGGAUCAAUGUGUUACCAACGGGAUCAAUGUGUUAUCAAUGGGAUCAAUGUGUUACCAACGGGAUCAAUGUGUUAUCAAUGGGAUCAAUGUGUUACCAACGGGAUCAAUGUGUUAUCAAUGGGAUCAAUGUGUUACCAACGGGAUCAAUGUGUUAUCAAUGGGAUCAAUGUGUUACCAACGGGAUCAAUGUGUUAUCAAUGGGAUCAAUGUGUUACCAACGGGAUCAAUGUGUUAUCAAUGGGAUCAAUGUGUUACCAACGGGAUCAAUGUGUUAUCAAUGGGAUCAAUGUGUUACCAACGGGAUCAAUGUGUUAUCAAUGGGAUCAAUGUGUUACCAACGGGAUCAAUGUGUUAUCAAUGGGAUCAAUGUGUUACCAACGGGAUCAAUGUGUUAUCAAUGGGAUCAAUGUGUUACCAACGGGAUCAAUGUGUUAUCAAUGGGAUCAAUGUGUUACCAACGGGAUCAAUGUGUUAUCAAUGGGAUCAAUGUGUUACCAACGGGAUCAAUGUGUUAUCAAUGGGAUCAAUGUGUUAUCAAUGGGAUCAAUCCCACCUUUAUGUUAUCAAUGGGAUCAACCCCACAUUUGUUUUAUAAACAGGAUCAACUCCACCUUUAUGUUUUAUCAAUGGGAUCAGCUGCA